rnacentral:rRNA from 1 species
ACAUGCUGUGAGCUCGAUGAGUAGGGCGGGACACGUGGUAUCCUGUCUGAAUAUGGGGGGACCAUCCUCCAAGGCUAAAUACUCCUGACUGACCGAUAGUGAACCAGUACCGUGAGGGAAAGGCGAAAAGAACCCCGGCGAGGGGAGUGAAAAAGAACCUGAAACCGUGUACGUACAAGCAGUGGGAGCACAGAGCAAUCUGUGUGACUGCGUACCUUUUGUAUAAUGGGUCAGCGACUUAUAUUCUGUAGCAAGGUUAACCGAAUAGGGGAGCCGAAGGGAAACCGAGUCUUAACUGGGCGUUAAGUUGCAGGGUAUAGACCCGAAACCCGGUGAUCUAGCCAUGGGCAGGUUGAAGGUUGGGUAACACUAACUGGAGGACCGAACCGACUAAUGUUGAAAAAUUAGCGGAUGACUUGUGGCUGGGGGUGAAAGGCCAAUCAAACCGGGAGAUAGCUGGUUCUCCCCGAAAGCUAUUUAGGUAGCGCCUCGUGAAUUCAUCUCCGGGGGUAGAGCACUGUUUCGGCAAGGGGGUCAUCCCGACUUACCAACCCGAUGCAAACUGCGAAUACCGGAGAAUGUUAUCACGGGAGACACACGGCGGGUGCUAACGUCCGUCGUGAAGAGGGAAACAACCCAGACCGCCAGCUAAGGUCCCAAAGUCAUGGUUAAGUGGGAAACGAUGUGGGAAGGCCCAGACAGCCAGGAUGUUGGCUUAGAAGCAGCCAUCAUUUAAAGAAAGCGUAAUAGCUCACUGGUCGAGUCGGCCUGCGCGGAAGAUGUAACGGGGCUAAACCAUGCACCGAAGCUGCGGCAGCGACACUGUGUGUUGUUGGGUAGGGGAGCGUUCUGUAAGCCUGUGAAGGUGUGCUGUGAGGCAUGCUGGAGGUAUCAGAAGUGCGAAUGCUGACAUAAGUAACGAUAAAGCGGGUGAAAAGCCCGCUCGCCGGAAGACCAAGGGUUCCUGUCCAACGUUAAUCGGGGCAGGGUGAGUCGACCCCUAAGGCGAGGCCGAAAGGCGUAGUCGAUGGGAAACAGGUUAAUAUUCCUGUACUUGGUGUUACUGCGAAGGGGGGACGGAGAAGGCUAUGUUGGCCGGGCGACGGUUGUCCCGGUUUAAGCGUGUAGGCUGGUUUUCCAGGCAAAUCCGGAAAAUCAAGGCUGAGGCGUGAUGACGAGGCACUACGGUGCUGAAGCAACAAAUGCCCUGCUUCCAGGAAAAGCCUCUAAGCAUCAGGUAACAUCAAAUCGUACCCCAAACCGACACAGGUGGUCAGGUAGAGAAUACCAAGGCGCUUGAGAGAACUCGGGUGAAGGAACUAGGCAAAAUGGUGCCGUAACUUCGGGAGAAGGCACGCUGAUAUGUAGGUGAAGUCCCUCGCGGAUGGAGCUGAAAUCAGUCGAAGAUACCAGCUGGCUGCAACUGUUUAUUAAAAACACAGCACUGUGCAAACACGAAAGUGGACGUAUACGGUGUGACGCCUGCCCGGUGCCGGAAGGUUAAUUGAUGGGGUCAGCGCAAGCGAAGCUCUUGAUCGAAGCCCCGGUAAACGGCGGCCGUAACUAUAACGGUCCUAAGGUAGCGAAAUUCCUUGUCGGGUAAGUUCCGACCUGCACGAAUGGCGUAAUGAUGGCCAGGCUGUCUCCACCCGAGACUCAGUGAAAUUGAACUCGCUGUGAAGAUGCAGUGUACCCGCGGCAAGACGGAAAGACCCCGUGAACCUUUACUAUAGCUUGACACUGAACAUUGAGCCUUGAUGUGUAGGAUAGGUGGGAGGCUUUGAAGUGUGGACGCCAGUCUGCAUGGAGCCGACCUUGAAAUACCACCCUUUAAUGUUUGAUGUUCUAACGUGGACCCGUGAUCCGGGUUGCGGACAGUGUCUGGUGGGUAGUUUGACUGGGGCGGUCUCCUCCUAAAGAGUAACGGAGGAGCACGAAGGUUGGCUAAUCCUGGUCGGACAUCAGGAGGUUAGUGCAAUGGCAUAAGCCAGCUUGACUGCGAGCGUGACGGCGCGAGCAGGUGCGAAAGCAGGUCAUAGUGAUCCGGUGGUUCUGAAUGGAAGGGCCAUCGCUCAACGGAUAAAAGGUACUCCGGGGAUAACAGGCUGAUACCGCCCAAGAGUUCAUAUCGACGGCGGUGUUUGGCACCUCGAUGUCGGCUCAUCACAUCCUGGGGCUGAAGUAGGUCCCAAGGGUAUGGCUGUUCGCCAUUUAAAGUGGUACGCGAGCUGGGUUUAGAACGUCGUGAGACAGUUCGGUCCCUAUCUGCCGUGGGCGCUGGAGAACUGAGGGGGGCUGCUCCUAGUACGAGAGGACCGGAGUGGACGCAUCACUGGUGUUCGGGUUGUCAUGCCAAUGGCACUGCCCGGUAGCUAAAUGCGGAAGAGAUAAGUGCUGAAAGCAUCUAAGCACGAAACUUGCCCCGAGAUGAGUUCUCCCUGACCCUUUAAGGGUCCUGAAGGAACGUUGAAGACGACGACGUUGAUAGGCCGGGUGUGUAAGCGCAGCGAUGCGUUGAGCUAACCGGUACUAAUGAACCGUGAGGCUUAACCUUACAACGCCGAAGGUGUUU